CCUACGGGAGGCUGCAGUGAGGAAUAUUGGUCAAUGGACGAGAGUCUGAACCAGCCAAGUAGCGUGAAGGAUGACUGCCCUAUGGGUUGUAAACUUCUUUUAUAUGGGAAUAAAAUGUUCCACGUGUGGGAUUUUGUAUGUACCAUAUGAAUAAGGAUCGGCUAACUCCGUGCCAGCAGCCGCGGUAAUACGGAGGAUCCGAGCGUUAUCCGGAUUUAUUGGGUUUAAAGGGAGCGUAGGUGGAUUGUUAAGUCAGUUGUGAAAGUUUGCGGCUCAACCGUAAAAUUGCAGUUGAAACUGGCAGUCUUGAGUACAGUAGAGGUGGGCGGAAUUCGUGGUGUAGCGGUGAAAUGCUUAGAUAUCACGAAGAACUCCGAUUGCGAAGGCAGUUCACUGGACUGCAACUGACACUGAGGCUCGAAAGUGCGGGUAUCAAACAGGAUUAGAUACCCUAGUAGUC
rnacentral:rRNA from 1 species